rnacentral:rRNA from 1 species
GAUCAUGGCUCAGAUUGAACGCUGGCGGCAGGCUUAACACAUGCAAGUCGAACGGUAACAUGAAGAAGCUUGCUUCUUUGAUGACGAGUGGCGGACGGGUGAGUAAUGCUUGGGAAUCUAGCUUAUGGAGGGGGAUAACUACGGGAAACUGUAGCUAAUACCGCGUAGAAUCGAGAGAUGAAAGUGUGGGACCUUCGGGCCACAUGCCAUAGGAUGAGCCCAACGUAGGGGAGUUAAGGG